AGUAGUUUGAUCAGUGGCUCGAGGACGAACGCUGGCGGCGUGCCUAACACAUGCAAGUCGAGCGGAGACAUUUGGAAAGCUUGCUUUUUGAAUGUUUCAGCGGCGGACGGGUGAGUAACGCGUAUCCAACCCUUCCCCAUAGUAGGGCACAGCCCGGCGAAAGUCGGAUUAAUUCCCUAUGCUGUCCAGAGAGGACAUCUGACCUGGACGAAAGAUUCAUCGCUAUGGGAUGGGGAUGCGUCUGAUUAGGUUGCAGGCGGGGUAACGGCCCACCUGGCCGACGAUCAGUAGGGGUUCUGAGAGGAAGGUCCCCCACAUUGGAACUGAGACACGGUCCAAACUCC
rnacentral:rRNA from 1 species